UAUCGCGAGACAUUCGUACCUGGGCUGGAGGCGAUUGAGUGCUGUCCUAGAGCCCAGAUCCUGGAGUUAGUCUGCUUAAGGUUAAAUCCUGGUGCUGUUCCUUACAAACCAAGUGCUCUUGGGAAUUUUUUUCAGGCCCUGUGGGGUCCCGAGAAUACCCACAGUGAUCCCUGAAGGCAGAGCGCUCGGUACACAAGAGCAUGUCUCUACUUCCCUUCACAUAUGAAUGACAGCUUGACCGAUAAAGGAUUCCCGAACAAACCCUUCCCGUCAGUGCUGUGAAGUAAUCACGCCGUCAUCUUCUGGCAAUGAUGCUGGCCUGGGGCAGAGGUUCCAGGAAGAACAUGGAGGUGGGUCAAGAUUGACCGAUGGGUUAAAGACUGGGGGGAAAAAAAGCAAAAUCUGAAAAGCAGCAUUGCAUGAUGGAGCCCAAGUCAGGAUCCAAGGACAAAAUCCAAACAGCAGCGGCAGCGUGAAGAAGGAAGUCAGAGACCUGGUAUAAAACACUGGGACAGAAAGCAAGGUUUCUGGAAAAAGAAACAACAUAGCAGCAGCCUGGAUCUGGCCUAGAAGCUGUCUGGUGUGACUUCUGCGCUGAACGAAGCAAAACCAGGAAGAGACAUCUUGGCAGUUCACCUGGUACUCAGUGAUUAACACGUUCCACACGUGAAGGCUGUGGGCAUCUUUCUAGUUUAUUAGGAGCCACAGCAAGAACCUGGAGGCUAUUCUAAUGCCACAUGCAGAAUGCGUGCACUGUAGCACCAUGGUCUGGACCACUCUUGAUCGUUAGAGGUCAUGGCACAAUGGGUAAGAGGAAAGAGAGGUUGAUCAAUUAAUGUGGUUUUAUGCUCUCCAGCUAUGAGCUCGCUGCAGAUGCUAUUAACUAUGACCCUGCAACUUAUACUCUGCUUUAAUGAGGAGGCGGUACCAGCUGAUGAACUAACCAUGAGGAACUCCCAGAAGAGACCACCCGCAGAGCAGCUGAAUUCAAGUCCCCAUAAUACAAACCAUCGCUUGUGGGAAAUGCUAAGUACUUAAGAGACGACUCAAAUUUACAAUGAUUUCAAAAUAAAUAAAAAUAAAGU